UGAUUGCUUCAAGCCCUAGAUCUUCAGAAUCUCCCUCUCAAUAUGUGUAUCCCCACUCUCAUUUAUAACUCUCCCCCAAGGAAGGACAAAAAGAAGUUUCUUCCUUCACUUAUCAAACAUAUUCAACACCUCUCUCUCUCUCUCUCUCUAUUUCUCCUUUUCCCUUUCUUUUUCACCCCUCAACAACAGCAUAGCAAACAGUGAAGUACGACCUAACAGCAGCUGCAUGAACUGAAACUCACAAGUUACCCCGGAGUGCCAUAACUCAAACUGAUACAGAGAAGGCAGAACAAGCUACAAGGGUUUUUCACCAUGGAAUGGUUUAUUGGACUAUGGACUCUGAUGGGUAUGCUUUUGUUUUGGUGGUUUCUUUGUGUGAUGAAGAAGGAGAAUAGUAAUAAGGUCAAGAAGAAAAAGAAGGGGAAAGUUCCAAAAGGAAACAAAGGUUGGCCUUUACUUGGAGAGACCCUUGAGUUCAUUGCUUGUGGCUACUCCUCCAACCCUGUCAGCUUCAUGGAAAAACGAAAGUCUCUAUAUGGUAAUGUAUUUAAGACGAGCAUUUUGGGAACUGGUGUGAUUGUGUCGACAGACCCGGAAGUGAACAAGGUGAUUCUGCAGAACCAGGGUAACAUCUUCGUCCCUGCGUAUCCAAAAUCAGUUAGAGAACUAAUGGGAGAUUACUCCAUUCUCCAAAUGAAUGGAAACAUGCAUAGGAAACUUCAUUCACUCCUUGGAGGCUUCCUACGAUCACCACAAUUCAAAGCUCGAAUCACCAAAGAUGUCGAACACUCUGUUAAACAAUGCUUUGCCUCUUGGACCCACCAACCAAUACACGUUCAAGAUCAAGUCAAAAAGAUUACAUUUACUAUUUUGGUUAAAGUUCUGCUGAGCAUGGGCCCCGGAGAAGAUUUAGACUUCUUGAAGAGAGAAUUUGAAGAGUUCAUAAAAGGGUUGAUUUGCUUACCCUUCAAGAUUCCAGGAACAAGACUAUAUAAAUCUUUGAAGGCUAAGGAAAGAAUGAUGAAGAUAGUGCGGAGGGUAAUAGAGGAAAGGAACAAUGAUAUCCAAAAUAAUAAUAAUAAUAAUAAGGAUUCAGGUGCAGCAAAGGAUGUGGUGGAUGUGCUCUUACGGGAUAAGGGUGACACCAACUCUAUCCCUAACAUGUUGGAAAAUAUCUGCGAAAACAUCAUUGAAAUGAUGAUUCCUGGGGAAGAGACUCUUCCUACGGCUAUGACCAUGGCUGUCAAGUUUCUCAGUGACUAUCCCGUUGCUCUAUCCAAAUUAGUAGAGGAGAAUAUAGAAUUGAAGAGACGGAAGAAUAGUUCAGAUGAUUAUGCAUGGACUGACUACCUGUCACUGCAAUUUACUCAAAAUGUUAUCAGCGAAACUCUAAGGAUGGCAAAUAUUGUCAAUGCCAUUUGGAGAAAAGCAGUCAAAGACGUAGAUAUUAAAGGAUACCUAAUUCCUAAGGACUGGUGUGUUGUGGCAUCUCUUACUUCUGUUCAUUUGGAUGGCAUGAAUUAUGAAAACCCUUUUGAGUUUGAUCCGUGGAGAUGGGAGAAUAUUGGGGCUGGGGCUAAUAACAAUUGCUUUACACCAUUUGGUGGUGGACAGAGAUUAUGCCCUGGCAUAGAACUCUCAAGGCUAGAACUCUCAAUUUUCCUUCACCAUCUUGUUACAACUUACAGAUGGGUCGCUGAGAAGGAUGAAAUUAUAUACUUUCCAACGGUUAAGAUGAAGAGGAGGCUCCCAAUUAGUGUAACAACAUUAACAUGACACCUAAUUAGAUUGAAGAAUGAAGGAAUUGUUGUACAGUAAUUUUAUUAUAGAUAGAUGUAGAUAUUUAUUAGGGUGUAGAGACUAGAGAGUAAAAUUUUAGUAGAGAAAACGAUAAGGUGGGUAUGCAUGUAUGUAUUUUUGUGUUAGCUCUAGUGUCACAUCGAUCUUGAGAGGAGAAAGGUGGCUUUGGGCCCUCCUAUAAUAUUGAAUGCAAGUGGGAAUUAUUGAAGCUAACUCUGGCUCGUUCGCAUCUUGAGUCUCUGUCCAUUAAAUUUUGGUGUUUGAUUCCAUGUAACAUUUGUGGUGGUGGGUUUGGAUCUCCAUGUGGGUUUUGUUGUUCUCUCGGUCCCAUGCCAUGAUACGGGCUCGUGCUCCACUAUCCAUUGUUGUUUUCCCAAUUAGUGGAGUUGUACAACUCUUGUACCAGCGCCACCAAUCACCAUCAAACAACACAAUUAACAAUGCAUUGAAAACCUGCUCCUACAUUGCUUACUUGGAUUAAGUAGAGGCCUCAUAGCUUUUGGUGCUUGGUGAUUAGAAGAAAAAAGGUCUUCAUCCUUCAACAGCACAUAGAGGACUCUCCAUAACGGCACAAAGCGCACU